GCGUAACGCGUGGGAACCUGCCCUUUAGUAAGGAAUAACUCAGGGAAACUUGUGCUAAUACCUUAUAAUCCCUUCGGGGGAAAGCUUUAUGCGCUAAUGGAUGGGCCCGCGUUAGAUUAGCUUGUUGGUGAGGUAAUGGCUCACCAAGGCGACGAUCUAUAGCUGGUCUGAGAGGAUGAUCAGCCACACUGGGACUGAGACACGGCCCAGACUCCUACGGGAGGCAGCAGUGGGGAAUAUUGGACAAUGGGGGCAACCCUGAUCCAGCGAUGCCGCGUGAGUGAUGAAGGCCUUAGGGUUGUAAAACUCUUUCGCUAGGGAAGAUAAUGACGGUACCUAGUAAAGAAGAUCCGGCUAACUCCGUGCCAGCAGCCGCGGUAAUACGGAGGGAUCUAGCGUUAUUCGGAAUAACUGGGCGUAAAGCGAGCGUAGGCGGAUUUGUAAGUUGGAGGUGAAAUCCCAGGGCUUAACCCUGGAACUGCCUUCAAAACUACAUUUCUUGAGUUUGGUAGAGGAGAGUGGAAUUCCUAGUGUAGAGGUGAAAUUCGUAGAUAUUAGGAGGAACACCAGUGGCGAAGGCGACUCUCUGGGCCAAUACUGACGCUGAGGUUCAAAAGCGUGGGGAGCAAACGGGAUUAGAUACCCCGGUAGUCCACGCAGUAAACGAUGAGUGCUAGAUGUUGGGAACAUUAGUUUUCAG
rnacentral:rRNA from 1 species